GGCAGAAAUGACCGUGUGUUAGGCACCCCGGCCGGUUUUUUAUUGUUCUCCUUUAUUCUCUAGCUUAUUAACCUGUUAGGCGCUCAUAUUAUUUGUUAGCACAUGAUAUUGACAUGAGACGCAAGAAGUGUCUUUAAUAGACUAAGCAAUUCCAUAUUCUUAUGUGUAGAUAUAUAAUGUCGUUUCAUAGAACAUGUGGAUGAUGCUGGUUUUGAGUAUGAUAAAUCUAAAGCUGGCAGUUGUCAGCGUAUUGCAGGACAUAUUUCUUUAUGCACAUGGUGGGCUUCCCUGUGGAGCCUGAAGUAUCUAGUACAUUAACAUGCAUUUUGACAUCAUUGUUGUUGCCAAUAUCAUGCAUGUAUGUAUGUGUUAUCAUUUCAUCUGAUAUGUUUGAAAUUCGUAGCUGCUCAAUUUUAUCUAGAUGAUGCUUGGAUGUUGCGAAGUUUCAGAAGUUACCCAGAUAGACUUGUGCAUCACCUCUUUUCGGGCGUAUGACAACUCUUGGGAGCAAAUGCGUUCAAUGGUUGUGCUGAAUGCAGACUAGUUAUCUUCUUUGAUGAAUGGCUUGCAAAUUUGCUGGAUACUUCUCUGCUUCUGCUCUGCAAUGCAGUUUGCUGAGUUUUAGCUGUUGGGAAUUAGUGAAAGUAGUCAAGAACUAUGAAACUUAUGAAAAAGCUCCAUAAUUGCAAGAGCUGUACAUAUGCCUUUGUGACUAUAUUGAAGCUUUUUCUCCAUUACCUAUAUAAAUGCACUUGGUUGUUACAUA